ACCCAUUGUCAAAUAUUUCUUUCAGAGAGGUUCUCUAGAUAGUAAACUUUCUGAUUUCUUGUUUGUCCAAACUGUCUUUAGCUUGCCUUCACAUUUGCUGUGGAGACCCAUAACUACUGCAAGCCCUUCUCUGUCAGGUUGCUGUAUUCUUGGAAGGAGUUUUUCCAGUCAGGUAAUUUCUUUUUGAAGUUGCUCGUUCCUUUCUGUUCUUUAAGCUGUCUUUUUUUUGUUUGUUUGUUUCUGUAUCUCAGACAAUUCAAUUGCAUCUACUUUGAGAAGCUCCUCACAGUCUGAGUCCUUGGUGGCAAUUCCUCUUUUUGUUUUUUUUUGUCCCUGUGGGUAUAUGUGCAAUUGGCAUUGGAGGGGGGCGGUGAGAUGUGUACAACACACAUGUGUAACAGCUCUGUCACUUUCAUAAUUUGAGAAGUGUAAGUAGACCAUGUGAUAAGCCCAACACCAUGUAGCCGAAGAACGAUAGCGGUUACUUCUUCAGCAUCUCUUCUAGACCUUGUGCCUGGUACACUGUAGACAUUUUCUUUAAUGUUCACACCCUAUUAGAACUUAUGCUCCAUGGGGACAGAGACUAUAGGAUGUCUUGUUCACUAUUCUUAGUGUCUAGUACAGCACCCAGCACAUGACAGCUGGUCAGUAAAAUCUGUUGAAUGAAAACUGUCCUGGAUAAGUAAUAACUGACUAACAUUUAGCAGAGGAUGAACCUAAGCUCAGACAGCUUUAUUAGACUUCCCUAGGUUGUAAAUACUGGAGAGGCAUGAAAAUACAGAUCCCUAAGUCCUAAGGUUGCUCUUGCAUGAGACAAUACUAUUGUAAGGGGUUCUUUAAGUGAAGCUCUAGAAAGGAUACAUGAAUAAUUGUUCUAGGUCUGAAUUGAGUUCUGUUUUUUCUCUAUAUAAUGAGGUUGUGUAUCAAGAUUUGCCCUUGUGUGUGCAGCAAAACAAUGAUCUCUUGGGGCAAUGGACACUGGUUUUAGAUGUGAGAGGUGUGGCUUUAGAGUAGUUCAAAAAUCAGGCCUAAGAGUUUUAAUUUGUCACAGGUUCAAAGUGAUCCCACAGUGUGACAUGAUCAAUGCAAAAAGUCAGUUUACUUUAGGGCAACUAUAUGGAGAUGUGGUGCCCAAGCCAAGCCUCAAUGUAUUCUGUGCUCAUUAGCUCUUCUCUGGAGAAUUCUAUUUCCUUCUGAGAUGUUAACGAACCAUGUCACAUGUGGCAUAGUAAAGGGCUGGGUACAUUUAAUAUAUGUGGCCAUGCUUGUGUUUUCUUUCUUUCUUCCUUUCUUUUUUUCUUUUUUAAGGGCCAUACCCAUGGCAUAUGGUAAUUCCCAGAUUAGGGGUCGAAUUGGAGCUGUAGCCGCCAGCCUACACCACAGUUGGACUCUUAACCCGCCGAGCCACAGGUCUGCCUGCAUUUAAGACCUCACAAUCCUUUCCCUUUCUAACAAUCCACUGACUUGUCUUCCUGUCCACAGUCUCUCUGCUUCAGAUCCAUCCUCCAUACAGCCACCAGGGUGAUCUUCCAAACACAAAUCAGACUGAAUCAUACCUCUUAUAAAAAUGCCUUAAAUAGCUCCCUGGGGGUCUAAAGGUAAAAUAACCUCAGAGGUGAUGUGCUGUAUAAUCCGGGCCCCUUUACUGUCUCUGGCUUCAUUUCCCAUCACUCCCUUCCCUCACAGUGGGGAAGGAGGCAGUGCUGAAAUGCAACUGAGAUGAUGGGCUGACUCGAGGCUGUGUGGUCUAGAUGUCAGCAUGAAUGCUUUCUACCUUCUAAGUCUAUGCUUUCCUACAUUAUAUGGCUAAAUUUUGCUUUGUGCUACAAGAGGAGAGAGAGAAAAGUAGGGUCAAAUAUAUACGUGUCUUUACUCUCCUUGGGGUUUUAAAUAACUAGAUAAGAGAGUCUGUCAUUCUUUCUUUCCAAAUGCCACCAAGCUGACCUGAAAUUAAGAGAGCCAAAUGAAACAAGUCACUUUACAAGUCAGUUCCAUGUUGGCAGAGCAGCAGUCUUGGCCAGGUCCUGAGCUAUCCAGGCACUGAGGAUACACAUCACGCUCAGCCCAGCCAGGAGGGACGUGCAUGCUCGGAGCUGGCUCUGCACUUCUGAUCCCGGGACAUGCUGUCCUGCGGGAGGGCAGCCGAGGGAGCCCUCAUUCCCGGCUCAGGGCCGUGGAUAGCAAAGAGCAUGGCAUCGGAGCCUUGGGGGAUGUGGCAGGUCAUGACAGGGCAAAGGUGGGCUGCGGGGACAACUGAAGCAGAGCAAAAAGCACAAGCAAAGACAGGGAGACGAGGGUCUGUGGCAGGUCGAAGGCAUUUCUCAAGAGCUGGUAGCUUAUUUUAAAAAAAAGCUCUGGGGUCCUGAGAAAGCCUGACAAAACAACUGUUUGUCCUAAUGGUAGAUGGUUUAAGAUAGCAACCCUUAUAUCUGUGAUUACAGAGAAAGGCUAUUCUCUUUGAAAUGGGGCUGAGCAUUUUCUAUAUUUUUACUUUCCUCUUGAGCCAGAAUGGUUUUCUCAUGUAAAUAUCAGAAUGGCAGAAAUAUCUAUAGCCAUAUUUAUGCUAUUUCAUAUUUAUCCAUUUGUAUUUAACAAACUGUUAACAUUGACAAAUGGUCAGGCACUGUUCUGCACACUUAACAAAUGUUCAUCUAUUUAAUUCUCAUAAUAACGUGAUGAGGUAAGUACUAUUCUUGUCUGAAUUUUAUGUAUGAGGAAACUGAGGCACAGAAAUACAAAGAAAGCUUCUCGAGAUCCCACAGCCAGAAAGUGGCAUUAUAAGAGUUUAGGGAAUUUUCUGCUAUGGCUCAACAGUGUCUGCAGCAUCUCUGGAGCACUGGGAGGCAGGUUCGAUCCCCAGCCCAGCACAGUGGGUUAAGUAUCUGGUGCUGCCGCAGCUGCACCUCAGAUCCGAUCCCUGGCCCAGGAACUCCAUAUGAUGUGGGGUGGCCAAAAAAGAAAAAAAAAAAGAGUUUAGGACCUCCAGCAUCAGGGCUAUUGUCAAUCAUUUACUCUUAUCACACAAUUCAGAAUAAGGUUUAUUUUGUGGUACUAGCCACUCUGGAGUUGCCACAAAGAUGAUCCACUCCAAGGGAUGAGCUGAGGGAGGUGGUCCAGAUGUCAAAUUCAAAAUCAUGACCUCAGCUCAGGCCCUGAAGAUUUGUUUUGUGGAGUGGAGUGGACCAGGGGAGCUGUGAGGGCAACGUGGUCACGGCCCGCUGAGCUGCCAGGGAAUGGCUGUGACAGAGAGAGGAGGGCAGAGCUACAAACCAGACUGUGCAGAGAAAGAGCAGCAGGCUCUGGCGGCAGGUGGCGAGAAGAGCGAGAGAGAGGCAAGACUUCCCAGCAGCGUCCAUCUGUUGUCUUGUCGCUUGUCUGCCAGUCGAAUUGAGCCGGGUGACUUCUGAAAGCAAACUGCCCUUCACCUUAGAGUGUACUAUUGACAAACAGUAAUAGUACUAAAGAGGAUGGAAGUUGAGUGCGGGCUGGAUCACUGAGUGGUUCUUGAAGGAAAUAGGGCAGAGAAUCACCUAUUCAGAAACUCGCAAGACACAGAUCAGCCCCCAUCAUCUGCAGUGCAGAACCCCACUGGGCCCAAAGCCUCUUGGACUAAUGAUUAAUCCUGCUGUGGCUUCUCACUCUAAAUAUGAUCAGAGGAGACGAGAGAGGGCAGAACCAGGGCCUGGCAAGCUUCCCCCUAGAGCAGUUCCAGUGGUCCUCAGGUUUGGGCCUGGGUGAUCCACAGCCCUGCGAAUGUAUGAAGAAGUGAACUGUAGCUCUUUUCAAAUCAGUUGCUUGUAGCCAUUCAUCCCAUUGGUCUCUGUUUUCAAUGGUAGUGGGUUUUGUUCAUUUGUGUGUUUUCCUUUCAAUGGGUCUUCCAAGAGGAGCGUCUUUGUUGAGGGCAUCUGGGCCUGGUGAUUACACAGAGAGGUCAAGUUCCUUCCUUCCUGGCAUUUUCAAAGCCAGGUUGCUAGCCUUGAGCAAGUUGUUCAACUUUCUCAGCCUCUCUGCUGUCCUGUCUGCUGCCCCAAAGCAUGCUGGGUUUCUUCAGUGCGAGACCCACUCAAGUACAAAGAGUCAAGAUGUGAAGUCCUCCACACCUGCUGUGCCGGGCGCUUUCCACCCGCCCUCAGCUCUGCCCUUAAGCUAUUCGUUCAGAAGGGUGUGCAGACUUACAGACAGGAGCUCUUCUAGCCUUCAGGUGAGUGACAAGCUGUUCCAUCCCCAGUCUGCACGCUCCCCUGUUCACAGGGCAUGACACGAGAUGGAGAACUGUGUGUUGGCUGUUGCUGAAGCUGUGUAUCUCUGGGAACUUUUUCCUUCCCUUUGUUUCACACCUAGGACCCAGCUUUCUCAAAUUACCUCUCUGAUCUAGCCCAGUGUCUUGCUAUUUUAUUUUAACUCAAUUUUUUUUUUCUUAAGGACUAUAACGUGCUGGACAAGAACCACAUUUGUGAUUCAGAUGGGAAACUGCUUUCUCAGCUCAGUUAUUUUACCCCAUCUUUAAAAAAAAUUGAGAUAUAAUUAGCAUAUAACAUUGUGUAAUAAGUUUGAGGUGUGCAAUGCAUUGAUGUGAUGCAUUUAUAUAUUGCAACAUGAUUACCACCGUAGAAUUAGUUGGCACCUCCAUCACAUAACAUUAUUAUUUCAUUUCACCCCGUCUUAAGCCAAUGAAGAACUUAGUUUCAGAUAGGAAUUCGCAGGCGUGCUAAAGGUGGCUACAGCAUGAGCACGAGUCAUGAAGUGUUGACAGGUACAUGGGGUAAUUGAUUUCGGUCAGUUUUAAAGGUCAGCACAUCUUCCUUCCUGCUUUCAGUCCCCACAUUGAAGCUCCUGUAAACUAAUGGGCAAUUCUGGUUAUACCAGGUUUCCUUAAUCCCCAAGCCAGAUGUGUUAAAUCUCCCCCAGGUUUCUCUUAACAAAGUGACAGCAGGUUUUAAUCUUCCUGUACACACUGCAGCAGCUGUGCAAACAUUUCAUUAACAAAAGAAAAGUGGGAAGCAUUAAACCUGUGGGUAACUUGUGCCCCGCAUUUGCUAUCAGUAGACUUUAAGAUGCCCCAAAGUAAGGAUAAAUCUGUGCACCUUAAAUUCUACUUUAUUUGAGAAAGCUUGAGUAGUCAUAACAAAGAAAUUAAACUCCAUCUAGGGAAUUAAAAAAUGUGAGAAGAACCACUGAAUUAGUAUUCAGCUGCACAGUUCUCUAAAAGCAUAUGUGGCACAAAUAAUAAAACAAAGCAACUUGCAGACAAAAAUUCACAUUCUGAGUGGGGAAGCUAUAAAAUGUGAGGCAGUCAAGUCUUUUAAAUGACAAACUGUUUAAUAUAAUAUUUACAUGCUGCCCUUCGUAAGUUUUUGGAAUUAUGUUGACAUUUGUUCUCAAGAUACAAAAUUGUUCAAAGAUAGCUGGAAAGUCAACACUAGGACUUUGAUUUGUCUUGGUUUUAUUACCAUUAAAGUGAUUUAUUAUGUUUAUUUCAUAGUUCUCGUCCACAAGAACUUGUAAUGUAUUGCUGAUAUUUUAUUAGUUGGAGAAGCUUUUUGACAUCAAAGAAUCUGCCUAUGGAUGCUGUACUUACUGGUAUAAAAAGUAAGGACAAAUCUCUACUGCCUUCCUAGCUCAUUUUGAUUCAAACAUAAUUCAUCCUACGUACAAACAGAAAUAUUUAUCACCUACUUUCUGUCUAGAGGGCUCAGGCUACUCUACUUCCCCCUUCCUCCGUGCAGGCUUCCUGAAUCCAAGAGUAGAAAAUCAUUUCCCUCAAUCCUCCGAUAGGGCUUUUUGACAUGUCUCUUCUAGGCACCAUAUAGUUCACUGUAUUGUAGUUCUUUGUGUACGUGGUAAUCCGCCUACUCCACAGUGAGCUCCUUGAGGCCGGGCACAAGGGCUGAUCCAAAGCUGUGUUUGCCCACAACUAGCACUCAGCUGCAAAUGCCUGCUGAUUGAAGCUUUGGGGCGGAACACGAUGCUUACGGAGGGGAUCGUGCUUUCCUCCUAUUCAGUUAUUUGU
rnacentral:lncRNA from 1 species